rnacentral:RNase_P_RNA from 3 species
GACUUCGGAUUAUUGCGGUUUAGUAUCUAAGCUGAGGAAAGUCCAUGCUCGCACAAGCUGAAAUGCUUGUAGUGUUCGUGCUUAGCGAAACAAUAAGCUAAGGCAACUAUUAGUUGACGGCAGAAAAAAUGGCUAAGGCUUAGGCUAUGUCAAAGUAUUCUUGAAAGUGCCACAGUGACGAAGCAAUACUGGAAACAGAUUGGUGGAACGCGGUAAACCCCUCGAGCGAGCAACCCAAACGUAUGGUAGGGGCACUCUUUAUAGGAAUAACAACGAAAAAAGAGGUGUAUCAAUGAUACACAGACAGAUAAUAAUCGCUAUUUACUCUGCUCCUGACAGAUAAAUAGUACAGAACAUGGCUUAUAGAA